CGUUGAAACACCGGUUCACGUACGAUCACCGAAGUUAAGCAACAUCGAACUUGGUCAGUACUUAAAUGGGUGACCGUUUGGGAAUACUAGUUGCUGUAAG